rnacentral:rRNA from 1 species
AGAGUUUGAUCCUGGCUCAGGAUGAACGCUGGCGGCGUGCCUAAUACAUGUAAGUCGCGCGGAGAAUUUAGCAAUAAGUUCUUAGCGGCGAACGGGUGAGUAACGCGUUGGUGACCUGCCCCAAAGUGUGGGAUAACAGUUCGAAAGGAUUGCUAAUACCGCAUGUGAUCACCGGGAUUAGAGGCCCGGCGAUUAAAGCCGAAAGGCGCUAUGGGAGGGACCUGCGUCCCAUCAGCUAGUUGGUAGGGUAACGGCCUACCAAGGCGAUGACGGGUAGGGGACCUGAGAGGGUGGCCCCCCACAAUGGAACUGAAACACGGUCCAUACACCUACGGGUGGCAGCAGUAGGGAAUAUUGCAUAAUGGGCGAAAGCCUGAUGCAGCAACGCCGCGUGUGCGAUGAAGGCCUUCGGGUCGUAAAGCACUUUUGGAGGGGAUGAGGAAGGACAGUACCCUCUGAAUAAGCCUCGGCUAACUACGUGCCAGCAGCCGCGGUAAAACGUAGGAGGCGAGCGUUAUCCGGAUUUACUGGGCGUAAAGCGCGUGCAGGUGGUUCGGUAAGUUGGAUGUGAAAGCUCCUGGCUUAGCUGGGAGAGGUCGUUCAAUACUACCGGACUUGAGAGUGGGAGAGGGAGGUGGAAUUCCGGGUGUAGUGGUGAAAUGCGUAGAUAUCCGGAGGAACACCAGUGGCGAAAGCGGCCUCCUGGCCCACAACUGACACUCAGACGCGAAAGCUAGGGGAGCGAACGGGAUUAGAGACCCCGGUAGUCCUAGCUGUAAACGAUGCGGACUUGGCGUCGGUGGGUUUAAAUCCAUCGGUGCCGAAGCUAACGCGAUAAGUCCGCCGCCUGGGGACUACGGCCGCAAGGUUAAAACUCAAA